UCUGGAGAGACAGACAGACACAUAGUUAACACUACCACUGCUACAACAUCACCCAGGUCUGGAGAGAGACAGACACAUAGUUAACACUACCACUGCUACAACAUCACCCAGGUCUGGAGAGAGACAGACACAUAGUUAACACUACCACUGCUACAACAUCACCCAGGUCUGGAGAGAGACAGACACAUAGUUAACACUACCACUGCUACAACAUCACCCAGGUCUGGAGAGAGACAGACACAUAGUUAACACUACCACUGCUACAACAUCACCCAGGUCUGGAGAGAGACAGACACAUAGUUAACACUACCACUGCUACAACAUCACCCAGGUCUGGAGAGAGACAGACACAUAGUUAACACUACCACUGCUACAACAUCACCCAGGUCUGGAGAGAGACAGACACAGAGUUAACACUACCACUGCUACAACAUCACCCAGGUCUGGAGAGAGACAGACACAUAGUUAACACUACCACUGCUACAACAUCACCCAGGUCUGGAGAGAGACAGACACAUAGUUAACACUACCACUGCUACAACAUCACCCAGGUCUGGAGAGAGACAGACACAUAGUUAACACUACCACUGCUACAACAUCACCCAGGUCUGGAGAGAGACAGACACAUAGUUAACACUACCACUGCUACAACAUCACCCAGGUCUGGAGAGAGACAGACACAUAGUUAACACUACCACUGCUACAACAUCACCCAGGUCUGGAGACAGACAGACACAUAGUUAACACUACCACUGCUACAACAUCACCCAGGUCUGGAGAGAGACAGACACAGAGUUAACACUACCACUGCUACAACAUCACCCAGGUCUGGAGAGAGACAGACACAUAGUUAACACUACCACUGCUACAACAUCACCCAGGUCUGGAGAGAGACAGACACAUAGUUAACACUACCACUGCUACAACAUCACCCAGGUCUGGAGAGAGACAGACACAUAGUUAACACUACCACUGCUACAACAUCAGCCAGGUCUGGAGACAGACAGACACAUAGUUAA